rnacentral:rRNA from 1 species
UUAAGCGACUAAGCGUACACGGUGGAUGCCCUGGCAGUCAGAGGCGAUGAAGGACGUGCUAAUCUGCGAUAAGCGUCGGUAAGGUGAUAUGAACCGUUAUAACCGGCGAUUUCCGAAUGGGGAAACCCAGUGUGUUUCGACACACUAUCAUUAACUGAAUCCAUAGGUUAAUGAGGCGAACCGGGGGAACUGAAACAUCUAAGUACCCCGAGGAAAAGAAAUCAACCGAGAUUCCCCCAGUAGCGGCGAGCGAACGGGGAGCAGCCCAGAGCCUGAAUCAGUGUGUGUGUUAGUGGAAGCGUCUGGAAAGGCGCGCGAUACAGGGUGACAGCCCCGUACACAAAAAUGCACAUGCUGUGAGCUCGAUGAGUAGGGCGGGACACGUGGUAUCCUGUCUGAAUAUGGGGGGACCAUCCUCCAAGGCUAAAUACUCCUGACUGACCGAUAGUGAACCAGUACCGUGAGGGAAAGGCGAAAAGAACCCCGGCGAGGGGAGUGAAAAAGAACCUGAAACCGUGUACGUACAAGCAGUGGGAGCACGCUUAGGCGUGUGACUGCGUACCUUUUGUAUAAUGGGUCAGCGACUUAUAUUCUGUAGCAAGGUUAACCGAAUAGGGGAGCCGAAGGGAAACCGAGUCUUAACUGGGCGUUAAGUUGCAGGGUAUAGACCCGAAACCCGGUGAUCUAGCCAUGGGCAGGUUGAAGGUUGGGUAACACUAACUGGAGGACCGAACCGACUAAUGUUGAAAAAUUAGCGGAUGACUUGUGGCUGGGGGUGAAAGGCCAAUCAAACCGGGAGAUAGCUGGUUCUCCCCGAAAGCUAUUUAGGUAGCGCCUCGUGAAUUCAUCUCCGGGGGUAGAGCACUGUUUCGGCAAGGGGGUCAUCCCGACUUACCAACCCGAUGCAAACUGCGAAUACCGGAGAAUGUUAUCACGGGAGACACACGGCGGGUGCUAACGUCCGUCGUGAAGAGGGAAACAACCCAGACCGCCAGCUAAGGUCCCAAAGUCAUGGUUAAGUGGGAAACGAUGUGGGAAGGCCCAGACAGCCAGGAUGUUGGCUUAGAAGCAGCCAUCAUUUAAAGAAAGCGUAAUAGCUCACUGGUCGAGUCGGCCUGCGCGGAAGAUGUAACGGGGCUAAACCAUGCACCGAAGCUGCGGCAGCGACGCUUAUGCGUUGUUGGGUAGGGGAGCGUUCUGUAAGCCUGUGAAGGUGUGCUGUGAGGCAUGCUGGAGGUAUCAGAAGUGCGAAUGCUGACAUAAGUAACGAUAAAGCGGGUGAAAAGCCCGCUCGCCGGAAGACCAAGGGUUCCUGUCCAACGUUAAUCGGGGCAGGGUGAGUCGACCCCUAAGGCGAGGCCGAAAGGCGUAGUCGAUGGGAAACAGGUUAAUAUUCCUGUACUUGGUGUUACUGCGAAGGGGGGACGGAGAAGGCUAUGUUGGCCGGGCGACGGUUGUCCCGGUUUAAGCGUGUAGGCUGGUUUUCCAGGCAAAUCCGGAAAAUCAAGGCUGAGGCGUGAUGACGAGGCACUACGGUGCUGAAGCAACAAAUGCCCUGCUUCCAGGAAAAGCCUCUAAGCAUCAGGUAACAUCAAAUCGUACCCCAAACCGACACAGGUGGUCAGGUAGAGAAUACCAAGGCGCUUGAGAGAACUCGGGUGAAGGAACUAGGCAAAAUGGUGCCGUAACUUCGGGAGAAGGCACGCUGAUAUGUAGGUGAAGUCCCUCGCGGAUGGAGCUGAAAUCAGUCGAAGAUACCAGCUGGCUGCAACUGUUUAUUAAAAACACAGCACUGUGCAAACACGAAAGUGGACGUAUACGGUGUGACGCCUGCCCGGUGCCGGAAGGUUAAUUGAUGGGGUCAGCGCAAGCGAAGCUCUUGAUCGAAGCCCCGGUAAACGGCGGCCGUAACUAUAACGGUCCUAAGGUAGCGAAAUUCCUUGUCAGGU